AUUGAACGCUGGCGGCAGGCCUAACACAUGCAAGUCGAGCGGUAGAGAGAAGCUUGCUUCUCUUGAGAGCGGCGGACGGGUGAGUAAUGCCUAGGAAUCUGCCUGGUAGUGGGGGAUAACGUUCGGAAACGGACGCUAAUACCGCAUACGUCCUACGGGAGAAAGCAGGGGACUUUCGGGCCUUGCGCUAUCAGAUGAGCCUAGGUCGGAUUAGCUAGUUGGUGGGGUAAUGGCUCACCAAGGCGACGAUCCGUAACUGGUCUGAGAGGAUGAUCAGUCACACUGGAACUGAGACACGGUCCAGACUCCUACGGGAGGCAGCAGUGGGGAAUAUUGGACAAUGGGCGAAAGCCUGAUCCAGCCAUGCCGCGUGUGUGAAGAAGGUCUUCGGAUUGUAAAGCACUUUAAGUUGGGAGGAAGGGCAGUAAAUUAAUACGUUGCUGUUUUGACGUUACCGACAGAAUAAGCACCGGCUAACUCGGUG
rnacentral:rRNA from 1 species